GUUAUAGUAGUUUAUAAAAACAUCGGUCUUGUAAACCGAAGAUGUGAACAAAUAGGUUUCUCCUAAAACU
rnacentral:tRNA from 1 species